rnacentral:rRNA from 1 species
AUUGAACGCUGGCGGCAUGCCUUACACAUGCAAGUCGAACGGCAGCACGGGAGCAAUCCUGGUGGCGAGUGGCGAACGGGUGAGUAAAGUAUCGGAACGUGCCCAGUCGUGGGGGAUAACGUAGCGAAAGUUACGCUAAUACCGCAUACGAACUAUGGAUGAAAGCGGGGGAUCGCAAGACCUCGCGCGAUUGGAGCGGCCGAUAUCAGAUUAGGUAGUUGGUGGGGUAAAGGCUCACCAAGCCGACGAUCUGUAGCUGGUCUGAGAGGACGACCAGGCACACUGGGACUGAGACACGGCCCAGACUCCUACGGGAGGCAGCAGUGGGGAAUUUUGGACAAUGGGCGCAAGCCUGGUCCAGCCAUGCCGCGUGCAGGAUGAAGCCCUUCGGGUUGUAAACUGCUUUUGUACGGAACGAAAAGGUUUGACUUAAUACGUUGGACUCAUGACGGUACCGUAAGAAUAAGCACCGGCUAACUACGUGCCAGCCGCCGCUGUAA